CCAAAGAUAAAAAAUAUCACGACCCAACACAUAAUAAAAAAGAUGUAUAAAAAAACUGAAUUUAAUUUGAUAUUCCUCUCUUUGAUCAUAUAUCUCUCGUCUUAAAAAAUCCACACAAAUUCCUAGAGAUAACUAUGGCUUACCCAAAAAAUAGAGGAUAUAUAGAAAACCCAUCAAAAAUAAAAUAAUUAAAAAAAAUUACAUAAAUAGAAAAUGAAAAUUCAAAACACUCGACAAGAACACACUCACACAUAGCAAAAAAAAGAAAGAAGGAGAGAGAAGUACAUUAAUAAUUAACGAUCAACUACAUAUCAACCACCACCAUCACCACCGGCAGCGGCAGCGCCACCAUGAGAACUGCCACAUGCACUACCAUCCACCGCAGAUGCGUGUGCUGCUCCGGUCACCACCAAAGUUGCCAUGCCAUUGCCAGCGUCAUUGGUGGCGGUGCCAUGGCUGGAUUCAACAUGAUAUUCGCCACCCUUGUCUCUAUCGGAUUUGGAAUGCGAAGAUAUUUGCUCAAGUGAUUGAUCUUCAUCAUCAUCAGGCUUAGAUUUCUUUUUGCAACACAACGGGAUACAAAACCUCAUUGUUAUUCACUCCCUUGAUACAUUCCCUUCCCUUUUAUAAUCCAACUCAUUAAACAGUCGUUUAAUAUUCUCUCACAGUCAAACAGUUCCAUGUAUAGCAAAUAGUAGUUCUAGUUAUUUUAAUUUUUUU
rnacentral:lncRNA from 1 species